AUGCUGGGUAACGUAGCUCAUCCACAGGUUGGCGUACCAAUGGGUGGAACACUGAUGCAAUCUUGGAUGGAGCUGUGGAAUGAGUGGGAGAUCCAAACUGUUGUUGUCGCCAGCUUCAGUCUGCAGGUUCUCCUCUUUUUCUUUGCUGGGAUCCGCCGCUACACCGUCUCUUCUAUUCUCAAGGUCCUCCUCUGGUUUGUAUAUCUGUUUGCUGAUGUCGUUGCAACAUAUGGCCUGGGUCACAUGUCCUCGUCAGUGUCGAAGAAAUCGUCUAGCGAGCACCAGCUAGUGGCGUUCUGGGCGCCAUUCCUCCUGCUGCACCUCGGCGGCCAGGACACCAUCACUGCGUAUGCCUUGGAGGACAAUGAACUCUGGCGGCGCCACCCCCCAAGGCGACGUACACCUUUUCUCCUGAGGAUUUAUGCCUAUUUUUCCCCCAAGACCUUUUCUCGUGAGGGGGAUGACCAAAAAGGUGGAGACUGCUUCACCAAAAACAAACAAUUUAGAGCAUAUGAAUUUAUUGUGAUGACAGCACACGAGUUGCGCCAUGUACUUGUCAAGCCUUUAAUCAUAGACAGGAAUGAGGCGUCCAUAGACUGGAAUUAUAAAACAACUGCUCUUGUAAAGGGUCUUGUACAAGGAUUUCCAUGGCAAGACGACGAGAGCGAAGAUGCAUUGGCAAAGGAGCAGAGGACUGUUGGGGAGCUGUACAAGGGAAUAGAGGUGCAGCUCGGCCUGAUGUAUGACAUGCUCUACACCAAGGCAGAAGUGAUCCACAAAAGCCGUGGCCACUGGAUCCGUGCCAUUUCACUUGUGUGUUGCUUCACCGCUCUUGUGGUCUUCACAAGAAGCAAGAGAGAUGGAUACAGCACACCCAACAUUGUUAUCACUUUUGCUCUUCUGGGCGGAGCUUGCGCACUGGAGGUCACAUCUGUUUUAAAGGCGAUUGGGUCAACCUGGACAUAUGACAUCUUGAGACGCUACAGAUGUAAGUGGCUGGCCAAUGCAGUUCUGUUUGCACGUUACCACCUCGUCGUCGUCAAGGAUGGAAGGUGGUCCAAUUCCGUCGGGCAAUUUGACUUCAUAUCCUUCUGUGUUCACAGCAGCAAGAGGGGCCUCAAGGGAACAAUAGCCCGUUUGAUUGGGGUCAAGGACUUGUGGGACAAAGCUCGCUGCACCAAACAUGCCAAGCUUUCACCUGCCGCGAAGGAGUUCGUAUGGGGCUUGCUCAAAGGUGACAAGACUCAUAUGGUUGAAAUUGAAGAGGCGGACAUGCGAAGUGGGAACUGGGCUCGUAGGUUCAGGGGCAUCGACGACCGGAUCAAACAGCUCGAUUGGAGCAUGAGUUUCGAAUUUCAGAAGAGUGUGGUUAUCUGGCAUAUAGCUACAAGCACCUUCCUCAGUAACCCCGCCGUCAAAUCGAAGCUGGUCGACAAGGACAUGGCUGAAGAAGUUAAUACUCUGUCUCAUUACAUGAUGUACCUCCUCGUCAAGCAUCCUGACAUUCUGCGCAUGAAACCGGCUGCUAAGGACAUGUUUGAGGAAACCUGCCUCUGUUACGGUUUGGGUAUGCAUAGGUUAGGCUGGAAGAGAAGUAAUGUGGUUGAUUUUCACCAUGUAAUUCUGGAUUACAAUAAAGGGGGCAAGCAUCUUGAGGACGAACCAUAUGAUGGCUUGACGAUGACGCAGCGUCUUAAAUAUAUAGAAGAUCUAUAUGGUGACUUGACGCAUCCCAGUUGGGAUGCUCACCCGGGGGAUGCUGUGCUGGUGAAAGCAUCCACCCUUGCCCACACAUUGCUCGAUGUGGAGUUGGGGCUCACAUAUAAGAUGGCGAUAAUCAGAACGGUGUGGAUGGAGAUGUUGUGCUACGCAGCAACCAAUGCAGCAGAGGGAUUCCACGCCAGGCAGCUGAGCAAUGGUGGUGAGUUUCUGACCCACAUCCUGCUCCUAACUAAAUAUUCCUCUUUUAUAGAUAAUAAUAAUCCAAAGCCGUCCAUGGAAGCUGAUGAAACUGUGGAGGCUAGUACUGCUGACCACGUACAGCUGAAUGUGGAUGAUGAUUCCAAUGAUGAGACCAUCGAAAUCCGCCCAAUGUAG
rnacentral:rRNA from 1 species